rnacentral:rRNA from 1 species
CCUACGGGGGGCUGCAGCGGGGAAUAUUGGACAAUGGGGGCAACCCUGAUCCAGCCAUGCCGCGUGUGUGAAGAAGGCCCUCGGGUUGUAAAGCACUUUCAGUGAGGAAGAACGCCUGGUGGUUAAUACCCAUCAGGAAAGACAUCACUCACAGAAGAAGCACCGGCUAACUCCGUGCCAGCAGCCGCGGUAAUACGGAGGGUGCGAGCGUUAAUCGGAAUUACUGGGCGUAAAGCGCGCGUAGGUGGCUUGAUAAGCCGGUUGUGAAAGCCCCGGGCUCAACCUGGGAACGGCAUCCGGAACUGUCAAGCUAGAGUGCAGGAGAGGAAGGUAGAAUUCCCGGUGUAGCGGUGAAAUGCGUAGAGAUCGGGAGGAAUACCAGUGGCGAAGGCGGCCUUCUGGACUGACACUGACACUGAGGUGCGAAAGCGUGGGUAGCAAACAGGAUUAGAUACCCGUGUAGUC